rnacentral:rRNA from 1 species
ACCUAUGGCCAGACCGGACUGAUUGCACCUGAUCCCCACUGAUCUCAGAAGCUAAGCAAUCCUGGGCCUGGCUAUUACUUGGAUGGGAGACCACCUGGGAAUCCUGGGUGCCAUAGGCA